CACAGUGUGGCAUAGUGGUAAGGAGUAGGGCUCCUAACUGAAAGGUUGCUGGUUCAAUUCCCUGCUGAGG
rnacentral:tRNA from 1 species